GCAAUUUCCUCGGGUAAUUCGCAUUUGUAGGACAAUGUUAAAUUGCAAGUUCGAUUAGACAAACUGCCGAUGCCUAUUUUAUUUCCAUGCGUUCCACCCGCAUGCGUCGUGUUCAUUAUAUUGUGUUUUUGUUAUUUUGAUUUCUGGUGUUCCUUAUUAAAUUGAUUUUAUUCAUUGGACGAGACCGUGGAGAAAAAGCUCUCAGAGUUGGGUGCAACAGCGGUUGACAAGAGCUUUCCCGUUUGAAAUUCAGAAGGGUACGUCAGGCGUGCGUUUUUAAAUUG